UACGUAGGCAGCAAGCGUUGUUCGGAAUUACUGGGCGUAAAGAGUGUGUAGGUGGUGUCGUAAGUUUGGUGUGAAAUCUCCCGGCUUAACUGGGAGGGUGCGCCGAAGACUGCGAUGCUGGAGUAUGGGAGAGGAAAGAGGAAUUCCUGGUGUAGCGGUGAAAUGCGUAGAUAUCUGGAGGAAUACCGGUGGCGAAGGCGGCAUCCUGGGCCAAUACUGACGCUGAGGCGCGAAAGCUAGGGGAGCAAACGGG
rnacentral:rRNA from 1 species